GACGAACGCUGGCGGCGUGCCUAACACAUGCAAGUCGAACGGUCUACUCGUGGUUCGAUAUUCGUGGUUCGUGGUUCGAUUAAAGAAAAGAUUUGGGGCAUAAAAGGCCAACAAGACUACUAAAUUCGAACAUCGGAUAUCGAAUAUCGAACUACGAUGGAUAGUGGCGGACGGGUGAGUAACGCGUGGGUAACCUACCCAUAAACCCGGGACAACCCUUGGAAACGAGGGCUAAUACCGGAUAAGCUUACGAAGUGGCAUCACUUAGUAAGAAAAGGUGGCCUCUGAAAAUGCUACCGAUUAUGGAUGGACCCGCGUCUGAUUAGCUAGUUGGUGGGGUAAAGGCYUACCAAGGCGACGAUCAGUAGCCGGCYUGAGAGGGUGAACGGCCACACUGGGACUGAGACACGGCCCAGACUCYUACGGGAGGCAGCAGUGGGGAAUCUUCCGCAAUGGACGAAAGUCUGACGGAGCAACGCCGCGUGUAUGAUGAAGGUCUUCGGAUUGUAAAGUACUGUCUUUGGGGAAGAAUGAUUGGUUUGAAAAUAUUGAGCCAAUAUGACGGUACCCCAAGGAGGAAGCCCCGGCUAACUACGUGCCAGCAGCCGCGGUAAUACGUAGGGGGCAAGCGUUGUCCGGAAUUAUUGGGCGUAAAGGGCGCGUACGCGGAUGUUUAAGUCCGGUGUGAAAGAUCAGGGGCUCACCCCUGAGGAGUGCAUUCGGAAAACCUGGGGCAUCUUGAAGGACCAGGAAGAAGGAAAAGUUGG
rnacentral:rRNA from 1 species